GCUACGGUUCCCGAGCGGUCAAAGGGGCAGGUCUUAAGAUCCUGUGCGUUAGCUUCGUGGGUUCGAAUCCCACCCGUAGUACCU
rnacentral:tRNA from 1 species